GUCUUGGACCAUGCAGUACUGAGAAUUAUUUAGAGUCAAUUUAGGCGGUAGUCCAUAUUGACAUAUAAAAAUGCACACAGAAGCUAUCAGAAGUGAAAAUGUGUUACUUUUUGUUCAUUUCUAUGCUAAGGUGUUAUCAUACAAGAAGUCUAAAUGCAAAAGGACUCUUGCAUUUAAAUUUUUUGAAAGACAAUAUGGUCUGGCGGCCAGUUUUUUCACAUUUCGAUGGAAAACUUGCAUUUAGUUUAAGUCUCAAAAGGUAUAAAUUUGGACCACUUACUAUCAUACAGGAAAAAAAUAUGGUAACCUUUAAAGGAGUAAGGUGUACUGAAUAUAGUAAAAAGCUUUCUUUUCAGAUUUAGUGAAAUAUUUGUGAUGGACUAGAGAUUUGAUGUACAAAGCGCUUCACAUUUUAC
rnacentral:lncRNA from 1 species